rnacentral:misc_RNA from 1 species
GAACCCUGUAAAGUCCCCAUCGAUACCUGAUACCUGUUAUCUCAAGUCCCUAAUUCAAGAUUCAUUCUACAACUCGCCUGCAGCAACAUCAGUCACCACCACUUUCGAAAAAUGUCCAACAGAAGAAACAAAAACGAUGAUGCUACUCUGGCUUUGAUGAUUGGUGCCGGACUUGUAGGAAUAGCAGGAAUCGCGACUUUGGCAGUUGGAGCUGCAUUGAAUGAUAGAGACGAUUCUGAAGAUGACAGAAGACGCAGAUCAAGUUCGUCAGGUCCGUCAUUUUCGGAAGUGUUGGAUGGAAUUGUAACAGUAGCCGGGGCCGUUGCUACUACUGCAAAUGCACUGAACAAUGUUAUCGGCCAACCUAGUUCGUCUAGACCUAGGAGGGGAAUAUCAAUUAGCGAAAUCAAUGAACCAGAAACAGAAGAAAGGCAAACACAAUGCAAAAUAUGUUAUCGUCAACUGUUUCUGCAGCCUAUAGAAGAAUUGAGAUGCAAACAUAAGUUUCAUUCAACGUGCAUCAGAAAGUGGAUGAACGAUAACUACGAAUGCCCUGUAUGUGGAAGAAAAGCCAGAUUGGCAUAAGCUGAAUUUGAGGGUGUUGCUUCAAAUUCAAUAUAUUUAUCUGUUCAGAAUAAUUUAAGUAUUAUUAUUCAUUAGGGGGCCAAUAUUUUUGUAAUACUGGAUGUUCUACCAAAUACUGAAUCGAUCUGUAUAUGGAAAACUAUACGUGGAGAAAUUUUGAAAAUUAAAAAACCUAAUAAUGUGAACGGUGGUAAUCCGUUUGUGCAGAUUUUGUGUAUUAAAUAUAUAUCCGCGUUUUCAACAUAUUUGAGGUUUUAUGUCAAAAAUGACGUUUGCAAACCCCUAAAAUAAUAACUGACAGCGUGCAUAUUGGCAUUUGGCACUAAGAUAAAAUUAUAACAUUCGAAAGUUCACAUUCAAAACAAAAAUAUAUUUUUUUUUCCUCAAUUUUAUUUUCAAUCCAACUUCUUAAAUACCCAUGUAUUCUGCAGAAUUUCUAAAAUAAUCCAAUUUAUAGUUUUCCCUAUACAGUGCACAUGUGAAAAGUUCCCUCCACCUCUUCAUUUUUGAACCGGAUAAAGGUCGAACUUUCAAUACUUUCCAAUGAAAAAAAUAUUGUUGUAUCACUUGUCCCUGAGGGGACACUAUUCACCUUUUUCAAACAUUCUCAUGAAAACUUCUCCUGACAAUAAUGAAGCCUGUUUACAAAUUUAAGUUCUUAGUGCUUGUGGGGUAAUUUCGUUGAAGUUCUUUAAAACUCAGGAUUAGACUAUAGUUGUAUGAUUUUACAAAUUUCCACAAAAAAUCCAAGGGCUAUAUAUCUGGUUAUCUAGCGGGUCAUUUUAAGGACCACAUCGACCUACCACUGGUCUGAAUAAUUGUCAUCUAACCACUCUCCCACCAGCCUGUCAUAAGUAGGAAAUAUAAUAUCAGUUUAAAACUCAUUUGGGCUUGUCAGUUAUCAAAACCAAUAAGUAGACAAAGAUGAUCCCUUAGAAUGGCCCGCUAGUUCACCUGUUAUGAGUGCGUUGAUUUUUUUUAGAUGAAUAGACUAAGAAGUACUUGCGAAAUAACCCCAGUAACAUAUAAUGUAAAAAAUCGAAUUCAUAUACAGACUUAUUGAAAGGAAGUGAAAAAUAAAAAUUUAGAACACUUAUUGGAAUGAAUAGGAGUGAGUUUUGAAUGUAAUUUUUAUUAAAUGCAUGAUAUAUUUUGUUUGUUUGCAGAUUUAAAUAUAAAACUGCCAAUUAAUCAAAAACGAUUUGUCAGAUUUUCAAAAUCUGAACAGUGUUGCCUCGUUCAAAAGUUGGGCGGAGAUGGACAGUUUACGUCCGACUUAUUUUACCUAACACAUAGUUGUUUUUAAUUUCCAAAUCAAUUACCAAAUGACAAUUUUAUUUAAUAUUUGAAAUAUUUGGUUUUGUCACUUUCAUUUUCAACUUUUUGUCCCAAUAGUUGAAGUUUGCCUGUUAUAGCUCAUUGUGAAAAAAAAUUGUUUCAUUUUUGUCCAUUGAAAAGAUGUAAAACGGAUUUUUUUUUGAUAAAUGAUAAAUGAACGAAUAUCAAUAGGUAGAACAAAUAUCUUCAACAAUAUACAUGUGUCAACGCUAUUUUCGGGGUUUGUUGACCGUGGUCUGCAGGUUACAUAUACAUAUGUACUUAAGUUUAUGGUGUAUAGCAAUGUAAUGGGGAACUUUAUUCAUAUAUAAAUAUAAUAACUUACUUAUCAAACUUAUUGUUAAUUUCUAUGGUAAAUGAAUAAAUGUUGCAGAACAUAUUUUUAA